GUUUUCUAACAUUCUAUCAGGAUACAUUUAUAACACACUUGAUUAUCAUAAAUAAAAAUAGAUGUUGUAAGGGAAUUUGAUCAAAAUGCUUCCAGUUAAAACUUAGAAAACAUAGAUGGAAUGGACUCAAUAUUUCAAAUGAGGAUUUUUAAUUCAUGGAGAGGGCAAAACAUAGGAUUAGCCUUAUUGGUUUUAUCACUCAAUGCAGAAACAACUAAAGGCUGUGUUAACGAUAGAGGCGAGUGCUGUACGAAUUUUUACCAUGACAAUGGGAAAUGCAUUCCCUGUCCUGCGGGUUCAUAUGGAGAUAACUGUUCCAUAACCUGUUCACCUCCGUUCUACGGGAAGGACUGUGGGCACCGGUGUACAUGUAGUCCGGAUGAGGAGUGCAAUCCCUAUAAAGGAUGUGUCAGAAUCGAUACCGUGUCCACUCCUUCUACAAGUAUCAAAGCAGGAAACGGCAUGAAGUCAAUUCAAAAUUCAAUGAAAGUGGAAAGAAAAUCAACGAGAAAUCGUAACAAUUCAAAAGUAGACAAAGCAUAUCCUGUUUCUAUGGAUAUCAUUCCUACCUUAGCAGUGGUAUCCAAGGAAACAUAUUCUGUGACUCCUACGUCAGCUUCUGGAGCAUCCACUUUUUCUACAAAAACCAAAGCCGGAAACUACAUGACGUCCACUCAAAACUCCAUAAAACCGGAAAUUGAUGCUGCAAUAAAUAACACCUCUUGUAUGUCCAAUUGAUUAUGAAAAGCCCAAAUUUUAUUCAACUUCCUUCAUGUAUUACGCUUUCAUAUUUCAGUGAAAGGUACAAAAGUUUAAAUGCAUACAAAAGGUUCAUUCUUGGAUAUCUUUUGUUUUCAAUGUUGUCUUCCCAUAAUGUUUCAUAGUAACAAAAUGUGAACUUAAUAUUGUAUUUUACUAGUGAUUUUCUUCCUUUUUUCAAAAUAGCAUCUUUUGCAUUGACUAACAAAUCAUCCACUUCUAUUUCCCUUUACUUCUCUUCUGUCAUUUCAACACCUUUCGAUAUGAUGAAAUAGUUUUAAUGUACAGAAACGUCGUUUUAAAGUUGAGAAUGUAUAAACCUGACAAUAUAGGCAGGUUCUUGAAAGUUUGCAUAUGUAGAAAUGAUAUACGUAGCAAUCCUCAAAUUAAAUUUAGAAACCUAUUUUCAUCGGAGAAAAAUAUCACAUGAACAUGUCAAGUUAUUAAAUGGCAGCUUUUGAAUUCUAUAAAUCCAUCAAAUAAAGUACAUGUACACGGGAGAAGGUAAGUAAAUCAAACAAGUAUUUAUAAUAUUUCCGUUUAUAAACCCGUUUCACUUAGUAUUUGUAGCUGAUAAAUCCUAUUCCCUAGAAAUAAAAAAAGAUGUCAACAUUAAAUAUUAUGAUAUGAAAUCCUGGGUAAUAAUUACACUAGAGUUGAAUUAGUGCUUGAAAUUAACAAAUGGCUUCGCUGGACAUUAUACGGAUAAAUUACUAUUCAUUUAAGAUCCAUUUCUGUCUUUUCAUAUUAUAUUGUGUCUAUUUUACGAUGUCUCGGUAGAUAUUAGAAUUGAAUGAUAGGGCUUUCCAUUUAUUUAUUCUGAUUAUCCUCACAAAGCAUCCAUGACUAAAACUUCGUGUAGUUUCGGAUAAAUCUCUUUUUAUCGUAAUAUUGAUGUUCCAAGAUUAAAUAGCGUACAUGUUAUCCGAAUUUCAAUGCCCAAGACAUUGUUCACCACCAUUUUCUUACCACUUUUAAAUCUGACGGUCAAUCUGGAAUUCACGCAUGGGUUGAAAUCGACAAAAACGCAAACAAACAGGUGUAUCACAACUCUUACAGCAAACCCCAAAGUGACAUGUCUGAAGUUGAAAUGGAAUGAAUGGUAAGUUAGCUGUCUUUAUAUAUCGAACAAACAUAUUUCUUUUAUUUGCUGUGGUGUGCCAUUCACUGUUUAUUACUUCUUUAUGCUAAAUAGAUUAUAUUUGGUGCAAGGAAUCAUAAGUAGUAUUUUUGAAAUUGAGAUUUCUUAUUUUUGGUAUUAAAUAUUGUAAUAUUUCCCUCAGAUUCUUUGCUAUUUGAGUUACCGAUAUAUCAAGAAUUUCAUGAUAUUUUUAUAGAUAUUCAACAAUUCAUUGUGUAAAAUUCGAAUUAUUGGUGUCUAGAGUUCACCUUGUCUUUUCAUAUCAGUAAAAAGAUAGAAAUUUAAAGAGGGAUUUGGCUUCACUAACGGGAGCUUUAAGUACAUCUCCAGAUGAUCUAGCCCUACAACCACCAACAUGUGAUGCGAGUUCCCAUAAUCCAGAAGCUCUAUAUUUUGCUGUGCCUCGCGUAGUAGUGAAGUGUCCUCUCAAUCACCUGCAGCAUAUUUAACAAUAGAUGAUGCAAUGCAGUCUAAAGGUAUUUUAUCUUGUGCAGAGCCUUGAGUCAACCCAUCCCUGGUAUCACUAUGCACAAGGCUAUCUCCAUUUAUACAACAAUAACGGUUGUGAUUUGAUUAUUUCGACUAGAGUAGGCUGUCAAAUUGUCGGGAUCAUAAAGGACUCCGAGUUGACAAAAAAAAGCACAUUACACAGCCGAUAUGAUUUUUUCAACACUUUCAUUCCUGAAAUAAUUCAAGGGAACAUACAAGCAGAGCUGCCGUAUACGGUGUAAAUGAUUUUACAUCCAAAUAACCAGCUUGUCUAACAUUCCAAGUAGCCAUUUUAACCCCUAAGUGAAGAGGGUGUACCGAUAGAGUAAAGUAACCUACCCAAGGAUACAAAUGAUAUCACAGAGUUUAGCUACUGACCGGAGGUUUUUCAGCACUGCAUACUGUAUCAUUUAUACGUGAACAUGUGAUAAAACUAAUAAGCAAAACAUUUUCCUAGUUGAAAAUGAGACACGAGAUAAAAUAUUUUAUCAUCUGAGAUGAUGAAAUAACAAUUUAA